UUUUUCCUGCGGGGUGCGUGAUAUGGCUAUUUGGACCUACACACAUUGCCGGGGAGCUUGGACUUCGGUUGACGGGAUGCAGGCCUCCUGCCUUAAGGCUGUUUUUAUACCCCUUAUUGCAGACGUUGGAAGCGCAAAGCAACCGAGAGAGCACCCACCUGUACACACAGGGUUAAAUUAUGCUGUACACGGCCUAUGCGGGUUUACU
rnacentral:other from 1 species